rnacentral:rRNA from 1 species
AGUGAACGCUGGCGGUAGGCCUAACACAUGCAAGUCGAACGGCAGCACAGUAAGAGCUUGCUCUUACGGGUGGCGAGUGGCGGACGGGUGAGGAAUACAUCGGAAUCUACUUUUUCGUGGGGGAUAACGUAGGGAAACUUACGCUAAUACCGCAUACGACCUACGGGUGAAAGCAGGGGAUCUUCGGACCUUGCGCGAUUGAACGAGCCGAUGUCGGAUUAGCUAGUUGGCGGGGUAAAGGCCCACCAAGGCGACGAUCCGUAGCUGGUCUGAGAGGAUGAUCAGCCACACUGGAACUGAGACACGGUCCAGACUCCUACGGGAGGCAGCAGUGGGGAAUAUGGGACAAUGGGCGCAAGCCUGAUCCAGCCAUACCGCGUGGGUGAAGAAGGCCUUCGGGUUGUAAAGCCCUUUUGUUGGGAAAGAAAAGCAGCAGGUUAAUACCCCGCUGUUCUGACGGUACCCAAAGAAUAAGCACCGGCUAACUUCGU